rnacentral:rRNA from 1 species
UAGGGAAUCUUCGGCAAUGGGGGGAACCCUGACCGAGCAACGCCGCGUGAGUGAAGAAGGUUUUCGGAUCGUAAAGCUCUGUUGUUAAGGAAGAACGAGUGUGAGAAUGGAAAGUUCAUGCUGUGACGGUACUUAACCAGAAAGGGACGGCUAACUACGUGCCAGCAGCCGCGGUAAUACGUAGGUCCCGAGCGUUGUCCGGAUUUAUUGGGCGUAAAGCGAGCGCAGGCGGUUAGAAAAGUCUGAAGUGAAAGGCAGUGGCUCAACCAUUGUAGGCUUUGGAAACGGUUUAACUUGAGUGCAGAAGAGGAGAGUGGAAUUCCAUGUGUAGCGGUGAAAUGCGUAGAUAUAUGGAGGAACACCAGUGGCGAAGGCGACUCUCUGGUCUGUAACUGACGCUGAGGCUCGAAAGCGUGGGUAGCAAACAGG